rnacentral:lncRNA from 1 species
CCAGUUCUGACAGGGAAGGAGGAGCAGAGACAGCUGGCCCAGAGCUUGGGGGGGUGGGGUAGGGCAGCAGUGCUGGGGCCAGGCGGGCCGCCUGUGUGCCUGAGUGUGCAGGUGUCCUCAUGUGUGCAUGUGUGUCCUCCUGUGUGCACUCACAUGUGUAUUAGAGACACACAGGGGUUGUCGGGGGGCCUGCUCCAUGUUCGCCUUCUCAGCCUGGGCCCCGGUGAACGCAGACACUCCCACGACUGGUGGGAACAGGCCGCUGCUGGUGUGAGUCUUGGACCUCUGGCCACCCCGAGCUGCGACUGAAGGAUGCACCCCGGCUUAGCCCACUUCCAUGAUGGAUGCACAGGCCCCCAGGAAGUGUGGCCAGCAUAGGAAGAGCAGGAACUAGACCCAGGAGAAGGUUGGCAGGAAAUUUCCAUACAGGUUCUCCUGGCCAACGGAGACCAACAAGAGAGCCUGCAGCCCUGGAAGGUCACGAAGACAAACAGCUCGCUGCAGGAUCGGCUGCCCCUGCAGAAGACCCUGGUGCCAACAAGGUCCAUCCCAGUCAGAGGGUUCGGGGCCCCGGAUUUCACGUCACUGUUCAGCCUCCACCUGCCGCCGCCGCUGCCAAGCCACCUCUGGGAACUGAUACCGCUGGGCCACCGCUUCCCGGGCUGCCUGCCCCCCAGGGACCCCCCGGGCCCGGCUCCCAGCAGCCUCCCUCCCCAUCCCCUGGUCCAGGGCGCCCGGGGCAGCGGCCGCAAGGAACUGCCCCCAGGCUGAGGUGACCUGCUGGGAGGAGCAGCCCUGAGAGG